GUCAGAUAUGGUGGUGCAUGCCUGUAAUCCCAGCAGCUUGGGAGGCUGAGGCAGGAGGAUUGAAAGUUCAAGACCGGCCUCAG
rnacentral:sRNA from 1 species